GCAUAUCAAUAAGCGGAGGAAAAGAAACCAACCGGGAUUGCCUCAGUAACGGCGAGUGAAGCGGCAAAAGCUCAAAUUUGGAACCGCUUUAUGCGGGUUGUAAUUUGAAGGCGUUUACUGGGACGGGGCGCUGCCUAUGUUCCUUGGAACAGGACGUCACAGAGGGUGAGAAUCCCGUGUGGCGGCGACCCUUGUGCCGUGAAGUGAGCGCCGACGAGUCGAGUUGUUUGGGAAUGCAGCUCUAAGUGGGUGGUAAAUUCCAUCUAAAGCUAAAUACUGGCGAGAGACCGAUAGCGAACAAGUACAGUGAUGGAAAGAUGAAAAGAACUCUGAAGAGAGAGUGAAACAGUACGUGAAAUUGUUGAAAGGGAAGGGCAUGGGGAUAGACUGAGCAAUCGGGAAGCGGUUGCUAGCGGGGCGGGACAAUUGCGCGGGAACGUGGCUUUCGAGUGUUAUAGCCCGCGCAGAUGCCGUCUUGCUGGCAGGUGGUUCCAUAAUGUCCCUAUGCCGCCCGUCUUG
rnacentral:rRNA from 1 species